UGGGGAAUAUUGGACAAUGGGCGCAAGCCUGAUCCAGCAAUGCCGCGUGAGUGAUGAAGGCCUUCGGGUUGUAAAGCUCUUUCGCACGCGACGAUGAUGACGGUAGCGUGAGAAGAAGCCCCGGCUAACUUCGUGCCAGCAGCCGCGGUAAUACGAAGGGGGCUAGCGUUGUUCGGAAUUACUGGGCGUAAAGGGCGCGUAGGCGGCCUGUUUAGUCAGGAGUGAAAUCCCCGGGCUCAACCUGGGAAUUGCUUUUGAUACUGGCAGGCUUGAGUUCCGGAGAGGAUGGUGGAAUUCCCAGUGUAGAGGUGAAAUUCGUAGAUAUUGGGAAGAACACCGGUGGCGAAGGCGGCCAUCUGGACGGACACUGACGCUGAGGCGCGAAAGCGUGGGGAGCAAACAGGAUUAGAUACCCUGGUAGUCCACGCCGUAAAACGAUGAAUGCUAGACGCUGGGGUGCAUGCACUUCGGUGUCGCCGCUAACGCAUUAAGCAUUCCGCCUGGGGAGUACGGCCGCAAGGUUAAAAACUCAAAUGAAUUGACGGGGUCAUAGCUGUUUCCU
rnacentral:rRNA from 1 species